ensembl:lncRNA
AAAACUUUUCUUUAGCAUUGCAAAGUAAUAUGUGUCCCCAAAUAUUUUAGGUACAUUAUGUCUCUCUUGCUCUCUGCUCUCUCCUCUCCUCUCCUCCUCCUCCUCUUCUUCUUCUUUCUUCUCCUUCUCCUCCUUCUCCUCCUUCUUCUUCUUCUCUCUCUCUCUCUCUCUCUCUUGACAAGGAGAAAUACAGAUGAAACAACCAUAAUUUUAACAUUACUGUUCAUCUGGUUGAAAUCAUCGAAUUCCUUCUUUUGGUAUUGAGAAAAGUUCCCACUCAUUUGAAGUAAUAGGUACAGUAAUGCCUUUUGUAAUCUACAAUCCUGCUGUCUUCUAAGUGAGACUGACUAUAUUUUGUUAGUUUUAGAAUGGAAAACAUGAAGAUAAAAUUGUCUUGGAAUAAAACAUUUGUUUGUGCAGUGAAGUGGACCCUAAGAUGUGACUAAAUGGACAUUGAUUAAAAGGAACAGAAGCACUGAUGUCUACAGAUCCUGUUACAGUCUACUGAGGAAAGAAAGGAAGAACCAAUAUGGGAGAUAGAACCACUAGUCUUUUCCACAGGUUACUACCAAGAAUCUAGAGAAAACAUAACAGGCAGUGGUAAAACAUGAGAAAUUUAUCUUUAGAGUCAGGAGCAAGUCCAGGGUACCGUCAUCACAGCUUCUCCUCAACAUUUAAUUGUAAUUCCCAACCAGUGCAAUACUUCUUAAAAGAGUAAGAAUUAGAAAGAAGGAAGGAAAGGUAUCCUUAUUUAUAGACUGUGUGAUUAUUUAUACAGAAAAUGUAAGAGACUGUGUAGACAAGCAAGAGAACAAACAAGAAAAUUAAGCAUUCUAGAUACAUUUCAGGGUGUAAGAGGAAAUAAUUGUGUGUAUGUAUGUGUGUCCACCCUCCCAUUUCCAAUAAAUACCUGUGGAACAUAUGCAAGACCUAUUAGGUGAAAUUAUAAAACAUUAAAUAAAGGACGCACUGGAUAAAUGAGACUCUGAGGGAUGGAAAGAUAUAUUUGAGUUAAUCUCACAUAUCUCCCAUGAAUUUACAAUGAAUCUAUGAACUGUAAUUUCUGUCAGAGUCCCUAAAAACAUUUUAUGGAAUUUAACAAUGUAAUUCUUAAAACUGAUAUGGAAGAUUAAAGAGACAAAACUAGCAAAAAUUUUUGAAAAAGAAAUUGGGGAUUUGCCCUUGUAGGUUGAUUAUAAGGAGGUAGUUUUUGAGAUAGUGUGGUUUCAAGUAUAAAGGUAUAAAAAUAAGGGCAUAGAUAUUGGCCCACGUGUAUAUGGAGUCUUCAUCUAUGGGAUGGGAGCUUGCACAUCAGCAAGAGAUGUACUCAGGUGCCUACAUACAGGAAGAAGGAUGUACAUCUCCCAAGCAAAAAUACAUCUUGCAUGGAUUAAAAACUUUGAUUG